rnacentral:rRNA from 1 species
GGUUAAGCGACUAAGCGUACACGGUGGAUGCCCUGGCAGUCAGAGGCGAUGAAGGACGUGCUAAUCUGCGAAAAGCGUCGGUAAGGUGAUAUGAACCGUUACAGCCGGCGAUGUCCGAAUGGGGAAACCCAGUGCAAUUCGUUGCACUAUCGUUAACUGAAUACAUAGGUUAACGAGGCGAACCGGGGGAACUGAAACAUCUAAGUACCCCGAGGAAAAGAAAUCAACCGAGAUUCCCCCAGUAGCGGCGAGCGAACGGGGAGCAGCCCAGAGUCUGAAUCAGCUUGUGUGUUAGUGGAACGGUCUGGAAAGUCCGACGGUACAGGGUGAUAGUCCCGUACACCAAAAUGCACAGGCUGUGAACUCGAAGAGUAGGGCGGGACACGUGGUAUCCUGUCUGAAUAUGGGGGGACCAUCCUCCAAGGCUAAAUACUCCUGACUGACCGAUAGUGAACCAGUACCGUGAGGGAAAGGCGAAAAGAACCCCGGCGAGGGGAGUGAAAAAGAACCUGAAACCGUGUACGUACAAGCAGUGGGAGCACCUUCGGGUGUGACUGCGUACCUUUUGUAUAAUGGGUCAGCGACUUAUAUUCUGUAGCAAGGUUAACCGUAUAGGGGAGCCGCAGGGAAACCGAGUCUUAACUGGGCGUUAAGUUGCAGGGUAUAGACCCGAAACCCGGUGAUCUAGCCAUGGGCAGGUUGAAGGUUGGGUAACACUAACUGGAGGACCGAACCGACUAAUGUUGAAAAAUUAGCGGAUGACUUGUGGCUGGGGGUGAAAGGCCAAUCAAACCGGGAGAUAGCUGGUUCUCCCCGAAAGCUAUUUAGGUAGCGCCUCGUGAACUCAUCUUCGGGGGUAGAGCACUGUUUCGGCUAGGGGGUCAUCCCGACUUACCAACCCGAUGCAAACUACGAAUACCGAAGAAUGUUAUCACGGGAGACACACGGCGGGUGCUAACGUCCGUCGUGAAGAGGGAAACAACCCAGACCGCCAGCUAAGGUCCCAAAGUCAUGGUUAAGUGGGAAACGAUGUGGGAAGGCACAGACAGCCAGGAUGUUGGCUUAGAAGCAGCCAUCAUUUAAAGAAAGCGUAAUAGCUCACUGGUCGAGUCGGCCUGCGCGGAAGAUGUAACGGGGCUAAACCAUGCACCGAAGCUGCGGCAGCGACACUAUGUGUUGUUGGGUAGGGGAGCGUUCUGUAAGCCUGCGAAGGUGUGCUGUGAGGCAUGCUGGAGGUAUCAGAAGUGCGAAUGCUGACAUAAGUAACGAUAAAGCGGGUGAAAAGCCCGCUCGCCGGAAGACCAAGGGUUCCUGUCCAACGUUAAUCGGGGCAGGGUGAGUCGACCCCUAAGGCGAGGCCGAAAGGCGUAGUCGAUGGGAAACAGGUUAAUAUUCCUGUACUUGGUGUUACUGCGAAGGGGGGACGGAGAAGGCUAUGUUAGCCGGGCGACGGUUGUCCCGGUUUAAGCAUGUAGGCUGGUUGUCCAGGCAAAUCCGGAUAAUCAAGGCUGAGGUGUGAUGACGAGGCACUACGGUGCUGAAGUAACAAAUGCCCUGCUUCCAGGAAAAGCCUCUAAGCAUCAGGUAACAUUAAAUCGUACCCCAAACCGACACAGGUGGUCAGGUAGAGAAUACCAAGGCGCUUGAGAGAACUCGGGUGAAGGAACUAGGCAAAAUGGUGCCGUAACUUCGGGAGAAGGCACGCUGGUGUGUAGGUGAAGUCCCUGCGGAUGGAGCUGAGACCAGUCGAAGAUACCAGCUGGCUGCAACUGUUUAUUAAAAACACAGCACUGUGCAAACACGAAAGUGGACGUAUACGGUGUGACGCCUGCCCGGUGCCGGAAGGUUAAUUGAUGGGGUUAUCCGUAAGGAGAAGCUCUUGAUCGAAGCCCCGGUAAACGGCGGCCGUAACUAUAACGGUCCUAAGGUAGCGAAAUUCCUUGUCGGGUAAGUUCCGACCUGCACGAAUGGCGUAAUGAUGGCCAGGCUGUCUCCACCCGAGACUCAGUGAAAUUGAACUCGCUGUGAAGAUGCAGUGUACCCGCGGCAAGACGGAAAGACCCCGUGAACCUUUACUAUAGCUUGACACUGAACAUUGAGCCUUGAUGUGUAGGAUAGGUGGGAGGCUUUGAAGCGUGGACGCCAGUCUGCGUGGAGCCAACCUUGAAAUACCACCCUUUAAUGUUUGAUGUUCUAACGUUGGCCCCUGACCGGGGUUGCGGACAGUGUCUGGUGGGUAGUUUGACUGGGGCGGUCUCCUCCCAAAGCGUAACGGAGGAGCACGAAGGUUAGCUAAUCCUGGUCGGACAUCAGGAGGUUAGUGCAAUGGCAUAAGCUAGCUUGACUGCGAGCGUGACGGCGCGAGCAGGUGCGAAAGCAGGUCAUAGUGAUCCGGUGGUUCUGAAUGGAAGGGCCAUCGCUCAACGGAUAAAAGGUACUCCGGGGAUAACAGGCUGAUACCGCCCAAGAGUUCAUAUCGACGGCGGUGUUUGGCACCUCGAUGUCGGCUCAUCACAUCCUGGGGCUGAAGUAGGUCCCAAGGGUAUGGCUGUUCGCCAUUUAAAGUGGUACGCGAGCUGGGUUUAGAACGUCGUGAGACAGUUCGGUCCCUAUCUGCCGUGGGCGCUGGAGAAUUGAGGGGGGCUGCUCCUAGUACGAGAGGACCGGAGUGGACGCAUCACUGGUGUUCGGGUUGUCAUGCCAAUGGCACUGCCCGGUAGCUAAAUGCGGAAGAGAUAAGUGCUGAAAGCAUCUAAGCACGAAACUUGCCCCGAGAUGAGUUCUCCCUGAGACUUUAAGUCUCCUGAAGGAACGUUAAAGACGAUGACGUUGAUAGGCCGGGUGUGUAAGCGCAGCGAUGCGUUGAGCUAACCGGUACUAAUGAACCGUGAGGCUUAACCUU